rnacentral:miRNA from 1 species
ACCCGCUGAGCGAUGAGUGAAA